rnacentral:lncRNA from 1 species
CUUUCAAAUGUCAAAAAAAAUAAUUUCCAGCAACUGUAAUAUAUGAGCAACAAUUGUAACCGCGAACCAUAUCAUGAAACUUGAUUGAACUCUCUUUUUCCAAAUAAAAUUCUUCCUGCUUUUAAAUCUCCUAAAGCUGAUAUUUCUCUUUUUAGAGAGAAGAAAAUUAGUAGGUGUUUUUUUUUAGAACAUGGAAUGAGAGAACGUGGGAUUUUAAGUGGAGUUUGAGGAAUUUGGUUUGUGUGGUAGCGUGGGGGAAGUUAAU